UGCCAGCCGCCGCGGUAAUACGAAGGGUGCUAGCGUUGUUCGGAAUUACUGGGCUUAAAGGGUGCGUAGGCGGUGCGGUAAGUGAGGUGUGAAAGCCCACGGCUCAACCGUGGAAUUGCGCUUCAUACUGCCGUGCUAGAGGGAGACAGAGGUAAGCGGAACUGAUGGUGGAGCGGUGAAAUGCGUUGAUAUUAUCAGGAACACCGGUGGCGAAAGCGGCUUACUGGGUCUCUUCUGACGCUGAGGCACGAAAGCUAGGGUAGCGAACGGGAUUAGAUA
rnacentral:rRNA from 1 species